CUUACCCCUGCAUACUUUCUGUC
rnacentral:piRNA from 1 species